UCAUCACUGCCCCUGCACAGAGGGCCCGAAGAUAGCCUCGGGCCCGACCACCUGGGCGAGGAGUUCCCAUUCUCCUCUGGGCUUGGAUGCACGACCAUACCGUGAGGCCCACACAACUCGUCCUGCACAGGCUCCUCACCAGUGGGUUUGACCAUCCACGCCAGAACUUCGUGGACCAUCCUUGUGGGAACUUUGCCCAGUGCCAGGACCCACUGAUGCUCCAGGGCCUGAACACUUUCAUGGGUCCAGCUCCUGCUACAGCACCAGCACAGGAUGGUCUGGAGCCGCUUCCAUUUUUGGAUGUUAGACUAGGUUUGGAGUUUGAAGAAGCAUCAUGGUGCAUUCAUGGAACUCCAGCCCUGAGUUUUCACUUCAUGUCUGUACCCAAGAUGUUGGCAUGUAUACCACCAUGGCCAGAGGUUGAGCUGGAUACAGGACCAUUCCCGGCUCCCAUAUCACGGUUCCCAGGAGAGCCCUCUAAAGAGCAGGAAAAAUCCCUGCCAGAAGACCAGGGCUUAGCGGUAUGUCUCUAUCUUGGGCCUGCUCAAGAAAAAGAGCCAUCCUUUCCCCCUCCUGAGCAGGUCAUUUUAUUCUUCGUUAUCACAUUUUCCCUUAUGUUCUUUAUUUUUCAUUGUCAUAUUUACUUUUUCUUUUUAGGUAUGUAUUAAAUUAAUAUUUAUUAUUACCCUGUGGUGGUGUGCAAAUCAUUGUCUUAACUACAUUUAAUGUUGAGCAACCAUCCUCACUUUGUGGUCCAGAACCUCUCUUCACCCCAAACUAGAAGCUCAGGCUCCUGACAUCCCCUCUCCCUUUUGGCUUCAUUUGCAUGGCGAGUUCCACAGACCUGCUUCUCUCCUUGUAUCUCCUUGCCCUGGGUGCUGCAUUCAGGAUGUGGAGCAUCUUAGGACCUGGCCCAGAGUCGAACUUGGUCAGGGAGCCUUUCUCAUUAUUUGACAGGCACGGACACUGCAGCUCAAGGAGGUAAUGAGGUCGCUGGAAUGUCGGGGAACAGGGACUGGUACUCUAACCAGGGCACACAGCACAACAAGCUGCCUUUUUUCUUAGUCUUCUCUUUGUAGCUGGGACCCUCCCAUUUUCUGCUCCUUCCAAGUGCUCAUCCCACACACCUUUUCCACUUCUGGCAGUGUCUGUUCAGGAGAGACUAUGGCAUUGUUGACAGCAUAUGUCCAUAUAAUCAUGCUUGUGGUGACGAUCAUCCCUGGGACAUCCUGAAAACUGCCCACCUGAUUUCCAUCCACUUAGUAGGCCAGGGGGGCAUUCAGGAGCAUGGGGAUCACUUAGGUGGAGACCUGGUUCCUCGUGAGGAUUUCAGCAGGAAAAGCCCAAUUUGGUUCGGUGCUCACUGGGCUGCCUAUCCUAGAGAAUAGGUCUAGAGGGAGCCUACUGGGGGAGAUUCUAAGUCUUUGGGGAAGACACCAGGCCUCCCAGAGAAACUGGGAUUCUUAGGUGUGGGCACGGAAAAGCCAUUGGCCUUAGUGUUUUACAAUGUGUGACUCCAGCUGCUUCAGGUGGGGUGGAAAGGAAAGUGCUGGGGUGGGGACCUCCAGGGAGUCUCUGGCCUCCCCCCGGGCCCACAAGCCUGUGGGUAAGAGGACACAGUAUUGUGCCUUGGGGUGACACCCAGGCCCCCAAACCCUGCUCCCUGGGCUGGGCUGCCAUGGGCAGGAAAUGCACCACCCAGGGAAGGUAUCCUGGGCAUGGCCCAGCUCUGAGCUGAAGGUGAUGCACUUGACAUCUGAAGUUUUCUGUGUAGCUUCUUUAACCCAGAUCUCUCACAUCACAUCCUGAGACACUGGGGGCUUUCCCACAUCCCACUUAGGCUGCGGUGCUGGCUGAGGAGGGGCCCUGCGGGGACAUGAUCACUGUGCUGUAGAAGCCACGGCAAACAUAGCAACCAAAACAUCAUUUCCCAAAGCUGGCUCUGUCUUCUCCUGCUGCUUUUCUGGGGUGGUGCCGGAUGUGUGGGGAGGAGACCUGCUCCCACAUCCAGUUGCUUCAUUCAGCAAGUAUUUGUUUUGAAAGCCCCUGCCUGGCACUAUUCUAGGGACUAGGAAUAGAGCAAGGAAGGGAGCCCCCAGAGAUCCUUUUCCCCCUGAAGCUCAUUUUGUCUUUGGCUUUCUGUUGUCACUUCUUAGUAUGUCCUGUUAUUUGAACCUUUAAUGUACCCUUCCUAAUCUUCAUGUCUAUACUCUUCUCAAAGUCUGUUCUCGCACCCUCUUUUUUUUUUUUUUUUUCAGGCUGCAGCACUCCCUUCAUAUCUCUGGUAAUUCUGGUCUUUAGGUAAGGUGCUCUCUCAGGUUUUCUUUCUCUGUGAAGACUUUAAACUCACCCUCAUUUUUGAAGGACAGUUUUGCCUGAUACAGAUUUCUUGGCUGUCAGUUUUUCUCUUCCAGUACCUUAAAUAUAUCAAACCAUUUUCUUCUUGCUUCCAUGGUUUCUGAUGAAACUUUGGUAUUUAAUCUCACUGAGAUUCCCUUCUAUGCGAUACUUUCUUUUUCUUUUGCUGCUUUCAGAAUUCUCUUUAUCUUAGAUAUUUGUCAUUCUGAAUAGUAGGUGUCUUGGAGUAGGUACAUUCGGAUUUGUUUUUUUAAGGGGCA
rnacentral:lncRNA from 1 species